rnacentral:rRNA from 1 species
AACGAACGCUGGCGGCAUGCCUAACACAUGCAAGUCGAGCGAAACCUUCGGGUCUAUUCGCGCACGGGUUCGUAACGCGUGGGAACCUGCCCUUAUGUUCGGAAUAACUCCCCGAAAGGGGUACUAAUACCGGAUAAUGUCUUCGGACCAAGGAUUUAUCGCCUUUGGAUGGUCCCUCGUUGGAUUAGAUAGUUGUUAGGGUAAUAGCCUCUCAAGGCGACGAUUAGCAGAUGGUCUAAGAGGAUGAUCAGCCACACUGGGACUGAGACACGGCCCAGACUCCUACGCGAGGCAGCAGUGGGGAAUAUUGCAACAUCGCGGAAAGCAUGAUCCACUUAUGACGCGUGAGUGAUGAAAGCAUGAGGGUUGUAAUGCUCUUUUACCCGGGAUCAUCAUGACAGUACCGGGAGAAAAAGCCCCGGCUAACUCCGUG